AUUAAAGUUGCUGCUGUUAAAAAGCUCGUAGUUGGAUUUCUGAUGUAAUGUAUUUGUCCCGCUGUGGUUACACACGUGAGUGGCGAAUUACAUUCAUCUGUCUUGCGUUUUUAUUAGUAGAUUGUGAAAGCAAUUUAUUAAUGAUACACAUCUUUUACUUUGAACAAAUUAGAGUGUUUCAAGCAGGCGUCAGGCCCUGAAUACAUGAGCAUGGAAUAAUCAUCGAGGACUUUUAGUUCUUUGUUGGUUGGUUCUAGAACUAUAGUAAUGAUGGAUAGGGAUAGUUGGGGGUGCUAGUAUUCCAAGGCCAGAGGUGAAAUUCUUGGAUUCUUGGAAGACUCACUUAGGCGAAAGCAUUCACCAAGGAUGUCUUCAUUAAUCAAGAACGAAAGUUGGGGGAUCGAAGACGAUCAGAUACCGUCGUAGUCUCAACCAUAAACUAUGCCGGCUAGGGAUGAGAUAAUGUUGAAUUUUCGACUUGUUUCGCACCUCAUGAGAAAUCAAAGUCUUUGGGUUCAUGGGGAAGUAUGGUCGCAAGGCUGAAACUUAAAGGAAUUGACGGAAGGGCACCACCAGGAGUGGAGCCUGCGGCUUAAUUUGACCCAACACGGGAAAACUUACCAGGUCCGGACAUAGUGAGGAUUGACAGGUUGAAGACCUUUCUUAAUUCUGUGGGUGGUGGUGCAUGGCCGUUCUUAGUUGGUGGAGUGAAUUGUCUGGUUAAUUCCGUUAACGAACGAGACCUCGACCUGCUAAAUAGUUUGUUAAAUGAUUCGUUAUUUACACAAACUUCUUAGAGGAACUGCUGCCGUUCUAGGCAGAGGAAGUACGAGGCAAUAACAGGUCUGUGAUGCCCUUAGAUGUUCUGGGCCGCACGCGCGCUACACUGAUAGAUUCAUCGAGUAUUUUCAUCCUUAACUGUUAAGUUUGGGUAAUCUUUGAAUGUCUAUCGUGCUGGGGAUAGAUGAUUGUAAUUUUUCAUCUUCAACGAGGAAUUCCUAGUAAACGCAAGUCAUCAACUUGCAUUGAUUACGUCCCUGCCCUUUGUACACACCGCCCGUCGCUACUACCGAUUGAAUGGAUUAGUGAGCUUCAAGGAUUGAUGUAUGUUUGGUUCUCCAAAUAUAUGUUAAGAAUUGAAUCAAACUUGCUCAUUUAGAGGAAGUAAAAGUCGUAACAAGGUCUCCGUAGGUGAACCUGCGGAGG
rnacentral:rRNA from 1 species